UAUGGACUACUUUGAUCCCAUCAAUUUUCUCUAAUCUUCAAUGAUAGCAUGUUUUCUGAAAGGAAAUCGGCUGGUAUUUUAGGUACUUUAGGGAAGUUAUUUUUUGAUUUUCCCUGGAGUAUCCUCUAAAGUUGUGAAAAAAUGGGAAAUUAGGUACAAUAUUAUUUAAGUAAAUGUUUAAUGCGUGGGUAAUUAUUUUACCAUAAUAUGACAUAUUAUUAUAUAUUAUAUAUUGUUGACAAAGCAACACUAUCAACUGAAUUCAGCUCAGAAUUGUUUUUUCUUUACCAAUGGUUUAUAGUUGCUUACAGAUAUACAUUAAAUUUCCUCUCUACUACUUU